UAAAUUCAAAUUUGUAUGCAGUUGGAACGUUAGCCUACGCUUGCCGCUGUUCCAACUGCAUACUAAUUUGAGUUA
rfam:Bombyx mori DNA, contig: Bm_scaf54_contig27308, strain: p50T/Dazao, build 2, whole genome shotgun sequence.